ensembl:lncRNA
UGCAUCUCUCCCUGGUCCCUAUCCAUCUCUCCCUGGUCCCUAUCCAUCUCUCCCUGGUCCCUAUCCAUCUCUCCCUGGUCUCUAUUCAUCUCCCCUGGACUCUAUUCAUCUCUCCAUCUCUCCCUGGUCCCUAUCCAUCUCUCCCUGGUCCCUAUCCAUCUCUCCCUGGUCCCUAUCCAUCUCUCCCUGGUCCCUAUCCAUCUCUCCCUGGUCCCUAUCCAUCUCUCCCUGGCCUCUAUCCAUCUCUCCCUGGUCCCUAUCCAUCUCUCCCUGGCCUCUAUCCAUCUCUCCCUGGCCUCUAUCCAUCUCUCCCUGGUCCCUAUCCAUCUCUCCCUGGUCUCUAUUCAUCUCUCCCUGGUUUCUAUCCAUCUCUCCCUGGUCUCUAUUCAUCUCUCCAUCUCUCCCUGGUCCCUAUCCAUCUCUCCCUGGUCCCUAUCCAUCUCUCCCUGGUCUCUCCCUGGUCUCUCCCUGGUCUCUCUCCCUGGUCCCUAUCCAUCUCUCCCUGGUCUCUAUUCAUCUCUCCCUGGACUCUAUUCAUCUCUCCCUGGUCUCUCUCCCUCUCUCCCUGGACUCUAUUCAUCUCUCCCUGGACUCUAUUCAUCUCUCCCUCUCUCCCCGGACUUCAUCUCUCCCAGACUCUAUUCAUCUCUCCCUCUCUCCCCGGACUCUAUUCAUCCCUCUCCCCCUCUUUCCCUGGGAUCCAUCCAUCUCUCCCCUUCUCCCUGACCAAACGAGGAGGAGAGGAGGAGAGAGGCUACUAAUAAAGGACGAGUCCUGUACCAAUCCUGUACCAAUCCUGUACCAAUCCUGUACCAGUCCUGUACAACCCUGUACCAACCCUGUACCAACCCUGUACCAGUCCUGCACCAAUCCUGUACCAGUCCUGUACCAAUCCUGUACCAGUCCUGUACCAGUCCUGUACCAAUCCUGUACCAGUCCUGUACCAAUCCUGUACCAGUCCUGUACCAAUCCUGUACCAGUCCUGUACCAAUCCUGUACCAGUCCUGUACCAAUCCUGUACCAAUCCUGUACCAGUCCUGCACCAAUCAUGGAUGGAAUGGAUCCUCUGUGCCAUAAUAACUGAGAGAGAGAGAGACACACGGGUCUGUUGGGUCGAUAGAACCACUAAAGACAACAUUAAAGAGAGAUGUCAAACAUUUUUUUUACAACUUCAAAUUCAUCAUCUCCAUCACCACCUCAACGUCAACGUGUGAGAAAAUGACGCGUUUCUAUUUUUGUUGUUGUAGUAAACAAUAUAAUUACGAGCGUUGCCAAUGACAUGCAAUGGCUCCUCCAUAAUUGUUUAAAAUCACAUGAUGCACACUGAUGAUGUCAUUGGAGACACUUGUCUUCUUCUUUAAAGAAGAAAGGCUUCAUUUACACACAUGUUGAUGUUGGUGCUGCAUGAUGAAUAUAAAAUAUAAAUAUUUG